rnacentral:lncRNA from 1 species
UUUUGGCAAACCAAGAACUAAUUCUUUCUUAAUUAAUUUUGAAAGAGAAUGCAUGCUAAUGUGUGCAAGUCUGCGAUGCCAAAGCCAACUAGUCUCAUUAAUUUUAGCAUUCAAGGAUACUAGGCAUUGUAUGUUUAUUUUGGCUAGAUCAUUUAAAUCUACCAUAUAAAUAUUACCAUGUCUAUGUCCAAUAAAUUUAAUGCCAUCAUUAAUAAGACUAGUUACAAUGCAAA